UGUGUCCUUACUGGUUUAACAUCAGUCCUCUGCAAAAAUGUUAUUUCGAUGAACGCAAGGCCGAGACUAUCUUGUUCACUGUCAUAUCAUCAGCCCCUAGCGAAAUGACUAAGUAUAUAGUAAGAGCUUAAGAAGUAUUUAAUGAAUUGAAUUGAAAUUGAAAUUCCGUAUUCCCUUUGUAAAAGGCAACUGUCCUUGAAAUGAGCAACACGCUAAACCAUGUUAUACUAAAACUAUUCUCAGGCAAAAUCCUAGAAGGCAAUGUUGGACAAGAAAGUUAUGUACAAAUGGUAUAAAGAGGCUUCAAACAAAUUGGCUUCUGUCUCCCUUCACUUCAGACCCUGAAUGCAACAUUACAAGUACUAAGCUCUACAAUACAGAAAUGCUGCUGAACUAGAAUAUGACCUGAGAAAGAUAGGAGCAAAGGAAAGAAAAUGUCCAGAAAAGAUGCGGUAUGGAUGUCUUCGGUUGAGAUUAACUGGAUAUGGUUUCUCAUUACAAAGUUAAAACGUUGUGAAGAGGCAAGAGUGAAUGACGGCAUUAUAUCACUAACCACCAGCCACCAUCUUUUGGAGUGAUGGUCAUUGCAUAGUCAGGAAGCAUCAGCAGGAUCUCUAUCUGCAACUCUACCCUACUUUGCUCCAGAAAUACAAGAACUAGUGAUUUCUCCUGGUGACUGUUCCACACGCUGACCAGAGAUAGUCUUCUUGCACAUAAGACCAGUUGCAGAUUGGCUGGCCUUCCCUUCCAUCUGCUAUUCUCCCCACCUUCCGACCUUUGUCUUGACUAUAAUCACAUGAUAUUUUCUGAGCCAAAAGUGUCCAACUGACCCAGAAUUCCUGAGCCACAACACAGAUUACAAGACCAAGCCUUGCCACUUGGCCACCACACCUGACUCUGUUUAAGAUUAAAGGGAAGGAAUGCGGAGGAGGCUUCAUCACUACAACCAGGAGUGAAAGGACAUGUGCAUAAAACCAAGCUGUGGACUAGUUCGCCAUCUCGUCACAAUACCAAUGAGCCAACUUUUAUAUUCGA